CCGGGGUGUGGGGGUGUGGCCGAGUACUUCCGGUUUGAAUACAGCGUGAAUGAGCGGAUUUAGAGUCGAAGAAAGGCGAUUGGCCUUCCAACGGAUUUGCCUCAUACAAUCAUUUCCAAGCCUUUUGGAAAUUGGUGCAGCCUGCAGCCAACACCAAGAUGGUGCGUAUCACCAACGCCAAGGCUGCCUCUGCCAGCAGCUCGGAUUUCUCUCAACCAACAACGAAACUUCCAGCCAUAGAUGAGGUGCUGCUGUUCCUCAAGCACCUGUCAGUGGGCCUACCUCUGAGGGAUCUAGCAGAACGGUUUGGCAUUCACCGCACCAGUCAUCAGAAUUAUGUCCACCUGGACACACUUCCUUUACAACCUGCUUGGAAGCAUACGUCUGUGGAUCCCACUCAAAGUUGAGGGAGCUCACCUUCCACCAGAGUUUUCAGCUUUCUCUGACACACAAGUGGUGCUUGACUGCACUGAAAUAUUCUGCCAGACUCCAUCAUCUCUCCUGCUGCAGAGUGAGGUGUUUUCAAAACGAAAAGAAACCUGUAGCUCAUGCUACACACACAUAGCUAGCUACCAGUUGAUGUGAGCUCACUUAUUGUUACAAUGCAACCUGUUGCAAAAUGCCAGCUAGCUGGGCUUAUUUGAAUCCUAAAUCACAGGUUACCUACUAUAGCCACAUCAAAACCCCAGAAUAUGAACCUGAUUGAGGCUUUUGAACCGAUGAACACUUUUCAAAAUGUUUCCUCCCUACUCUGAGGUGGUGAGGCUUUUCAUGCUUUCUCAUGGACCUGUAACAGUUAGCCCUGAGGCUCACUCUCCCUGUUGGUAGAUGUUUGUUUGAAACUGUGGGGAAUUGGACAUCAUGUUAUCCGAAAAUCUAAUUGGACAUCCUUAAAAUGCUUUACACUGUAUCAAAUAAUGUCAAGUUGUCAAAGUAAGCCAGUAACUACAGCUAGCUUGCUAGCUAAUGUUAAUGUUUGUCACUUACCUUCAUAAUUGUCGAUGUAACUCGAUAUGUACAUCUUGAACCCCUUUUCUCUUUUGCUCCUCGGGGCUGAGCUUGCCGCUUGUACCAGCCGAUGUACAUCACUGAUGCUAACCUUCGGCAGGUCUUGUAACCAUCUUGUAUAAAAUUGUGCCAUCUUCUUGCAUUGCUGAGGUAACGUUAACGUCAACCUUCUCACUUCGCUCUACCUUAGAACGGAAGUUUACAAGCGCACUGUCAAUGAAGCGAAAUAAAAAUACGUCAUCCCGUGCAACUAGCGAAUUGGGACGAAUUGAGACAAACCACUAGCUUCCAUGUCAAAGGGGGAUUUGGGUUUUUUCAGUGUCCUUUGUGUAUGCUGCUAGUCUUAAUUACCCCUUGGUUUCUACUUUGUUUGGCCGAGUAACUAUAUAGGUUCCUUGGUCUGUCAUUAUAACAGGUCAUUUAGUUGAGUUAACACCUGUUAAGGUGAUGUUAAGUUUAUUCUAGGUAUUUUCUGUUGACCUCUUUUAUAGGCCUAGUUAUUAGAGCAUUUUGGUUUAUAAUGUUUUCAUUGGAUUUUUGGGUAAAUAAA